rnacentral:rRNA from 1 species
CCCUUAGAUGUUCUGGGCUGCACGCGCGCUACACUGAUGCGUUCAACGAGUGUACAUCCUGGCCCGGUAGGGUUGGGUAAUCUUCUGAACACGCAUCGUGAUGGGGAUAGAUUAUUGCAAUUAUUAAUCUUCAACGAGGAAUUCCUAGUAAUGGUGAAUCAUCAGUUCAUCGUGAUUACGUCCCUGCCCUUUGUACACACCGCCCGUCGCUCCUACCGAUUGAAUGGUCCGGUGAAGCGUUCGGACCGUGGCCUUUGGACGGUUCGCCGUCUGUUGGCUGCGGGAAGUUCGUUAAACCUUAUCAUUUAGAGGAAGGAGAAGUCGUAACA